CCUCCGUAGGGGGGACCUGCGGAGGGAUCAUUACCGAGUUUACAACUCCCAAACCCCUGUGAACAUACCAAUUGUUGCCUCGGCGGAUCAGCCCGCUCCCGGUAAAACGGGACGGCCCGCCAGAGGACCCCUAAACUCUGUUUCUAUAUGUAACUUCUGAGUAAAACCAUAAAUAAAUCAAAACUUUCAACAACGGAUCUCUUGGUUCUGGCAUCGAUGAAGAACGCAGCAAAAUGCGAUAAGUAAUGUGAAUUGCAGAAUUCAGUGAAUCAUCGAAUCUUUGAACGCACAUUGCGCCCGCCAGUAUUCUGGCGGGCAUGCCUGUUCGAGCGUCAUUUCAACCCUCAAGCCCCCGGGUUUGGUGUUGGGGAUCGGCGAGCCCUUGCGGCAAGCCGGCCCCGAAAUCUAGUGGCGGUCUCGCUGCAGCUUCCAUUGCGUAGUAGUAAAACCCUCGCAACUGGUACGCGGCGCGGCCAAGCCGUUAAACCCCCAACUUCUGAAUGUUGACCUCGGAUCAGGUAGGAAUACCCGCUGAACUUAAGCAUAUCAUAGGCCGGGAGG
rnacentral:rRNA from 1 species